GAAGCAGCUGCAGGAGCGCACAGAUAGGCAAACAAUCUCAAGGUGUGCAGCCGCUUCAUGGGGAAAUAAGGUGGUCGUGUGCGCAGUGGAGUGUGCGGGACAAAGAGCGGAGAAGAAGGAAAGUCUGGCAGGCGACAGCGAAGAAGAAAAACGGCUUCAAUCAGCACACCGGUGUCACGUCUCAUUUUGGAAAGCUGCUCCUCAAAAACUUCAUCACUGGCCUCCUAAGAUUCACUGCGGACGCUGGCUGACCUCAGCGAGUGACCUCUCCAAUCAUAGAUCAAAGCCGUCUGCUUCCCAGCUAGUCGGGUUAAUCAGAGGACCACCCUGAAGAGCCAAUCAGGGGACAGGACUUUGUAAGGCGACUACUUUCCACAUCGGGGGGCCAAUCAGGAACAGAUGGAAAAGGU